GGGUCGCUCAGAGGGACCACCAUCUCUCAGGUUGGAGCGCAGCCCCGCCCCACACCCGCUUUGCUUGGGGGUCCUCCCACCGAAACUCUCCCAGGUUUCUUCCCAGUCUCCAUCCCUCGAGACGGUCGCUCAUCCCUGUUUCCUAUGUGUCCCUCGGCCCUUUCUGCAGCCCCCAGGCCUCAACUCCUUACCCCAGUUUGGGCAAUGAGCUGCACCACUCUUUGGCCCAGGCCCGGGACAUGGCGGGUGGGUGGGCGCCGAGGGCCUGGGAGAAGGGCGGAGCGCUGUGCCGGACAGGGGAUGAGGCCGGGUGACGGCGGCGACGCCGAGAGUCUGCAGUGUGUGAGCGAGAGUGAGCGCACAGCGCCCGGCGAGCAGGUGCCUGUGGCGCGGAGAGCGCACCAGCGAGCCAGCAAGCAGCGGCCGUCCUCUUGGAGUUGGGGUUUCGAUAUUCUUGUCUCGGCUGACCUUUCCCGUCCUCCCUGUACCACGUACAGCAACAUUGAUUUUGGGUGACUUUUGGAUUCUUCUAGUCACUAUCAGAAGACUUUGCAUUCUAUGGGUCAACUCAGCAUACCUCCCAUACACCUUCUGUUGACUUUGCUUUAAAGAUUUAUACUUGAAAUCUUCCAAGAACUGCUGUUGGGCCUUGGAGCUACCUGUUGAAUCCUUCUGUCUUCAGGACGCUAGACAGCCUGGAUCCAUGACAAGAUCAAUUAUCAGCAGAGAAAACAGCCACCACGGAGCUUCUGAAUGCUGCCCAACUCUCCUUGAUCCCCAGUUCUUCUCACCUCCCCAUUUCUUACCAACUCCUCAGUGAAGGAAGUUUCUUUUGGAUUCUCUUGAGGAACAAGAGAACUCAGAUCUUAUGUGAUAGAUCCAUUAUGAGACAGGCCCACUUCUCCAAAAUCAAAAGAUCUGAAUUCCUUAUCUAACACUCCAACCAGGCUGCUCUCAUAUCUCCAACUUUUCUUUAUAGUAGGACAUUCCCCCCAACAAGGUUCUAGGGGCUAUUUAGGAGUUAUUAGGGCUGGCUUCCAGUACCUUGACAAAGUUCUAAUCCCUUAUCUAGUUUUAUAUUCUGUUUGCUUUCUCAUUCAUCCUUGGUUCAACAACAGCAAGAUCUGCUUCCAAGAAAACAUUCCUGAUUCCUAUGUGUUCUUAUUGAUCAGGUCCCUUGGUGAAUAGCCCAUCUCUUCUCUUAGAAGGGCCAGCAUUUUUCCAGUUGGAUCCUGCUGAGAAUCAAUCCUGGUUAUUGUUCUAGUGGCCAGUAGGGAAGGUGAGAGCGGAUUUCGAGAAGACAUUGUCUUGUAAGAGAUUGGUCACCAUUUAAAUCUCUUAAUAUACCUUAGGCAGAGCAGUCUACUCUAUUCUAGAAAGGAUUACUAGAAUACUUUUCUGUACUCUAGGCAGAGAGGGAUCAGGGGAAUCUGAUGAUUCAGUGUUUCCAGGUAUACACUCAGAUGUUUUUAUUCCAAGUCUCAGGAUCCCAUUGUUUCCUCUUAAGACUUUGACUUUGGCAUAGAGACCUCAGUUUUCUAUGCAGUUUUGCUUCACUUAUUAUCAGAUGCUAGGUCUCAUCUUCAGCAUGGUCUUCUUCCCUACUAUGUGAGGAAUGAUCACUUUAGACAUUGCUAAGGUCACCUUCUGACUAUCAACCCUGCCUUAAAUUAGUAGUUGGCUGACUUGUGUUGUCAUUUCUGUCUUCAGUGCAGCCAGAGCAUUCAACAGCAUCCAAUGAGUUAUGUAGAUUUUAUAAUUGCUACUUUAUUCAUAUAUCCCAAGUUCUAGAUGUGUCCAUCAUCUAGUGAAUCCCCUUUCACCUGCAACAGUUGGUCACAUUUUUUCCUUAGCUACUCUUAAUAAAUUAGGGGCACAGUUUCAGUUAAUGGGUUCAAAUAGUGGUUUUCAGUAAUGCCCCUAGCUCAAUAAAAACACUCUUAGUCCCUACUACCCCUCACAAAGUGGUUUCCAAAGGUUCAGACACUGGAGUUUUGCCACUUUUUUUGGGGGGGAUGGUACUAGAACUUGAAACCAGGGGUGCUUAACCAUUUAGCCACAUCCCCAACCUUUUUUAUUUUAGGACGGGUUCUUGUUAAGU